CCCCACUGCUAUCGGGAUGGGACUAAGACAUGCUAGUCGAGCGUCUCCAAGCUAUGGAAGAGACGCGGCACACAGCUCAGUAACACGUGGCUAACCUGCCCUUGGGACAAGGACAACUCCGGGAAACUGGGGCUAAUCCCUGAUAAGUGAGAACUCCUGGAAUGGAUUCUCGCUCAAAGGACGUUUAGACCAUGCUUCUAAGCGUCGCCCAAGGAGGGGGCCGCGACCGAUCAGGUUGUUGGUGAGGUAACGGCUCACCAAGCCUUUAACCGGUACGGGCCGUGAGAGCGGAAGCCCGGAGAUGGGCACUGAGACAAGGGCCCAGGCCCUACGGGGCGCAGCAGUCGCGAAAACUCCGCAAUACACGAAAGUGUGACGGGGCCAUCCCGAGUGCCAUCCGCUGAGGAUGGCUUUUCCCCAGUGUAUAAAGCUGGGGGAAUAAGGAGAGGGCAAGCCUGGUGUCAGCCGCCGCGGUAAUACCAGCUCUCCGAGUGGUGGGGAUGUUUAUUGGGCCUAAAGCAUUCGUAGCCUGCUUGGCAAGUCCUCCGUUAAAUCCAACGAUUCAAUCGUUGGGCUGCGGGGGAUACUGUCCGGCUAGGGGGCGGGAGAGGCCGACGGUAUCCUCGGGGUAGGGGUGAAAUCCUAUAAUCCCGGGAGGACCACCAGUGGCGAAGGCUGUCGGCUAGAACGCGCUCGACGGUGAGGGAUGAAAGCUGGGGGAGCGAACCGGAUUAGAUACCCGGGUAGUCCCAGCUGUAAACGAUGCAGGCUAGGUGUUGGCGCGGCUACGUGCCGCUCCAGUGCCGCAGGGAAGCCGUUAAGCCUGCCGCCUGGGAAGUACGGCCGCAAGGCUGAAACUUAAAGGAAUUGGCGGGGGAGCACCACAAGGUGUGGAGCUUGCGGUUU
rnacentral:rRNA from 1 species